rnacentral:tRNA from 1 species
GGAAGGGUAGCAUAGUCUGGUUGGUGCAACCGGCUGAUAACCGGUAGGUCGGCGGUUCAAAUCCGCCCCUUUCCA